rnacentral:rRNA from 1 species
GUCUUUAGUUGCCAUCGGGUCAAGCCGGGCACUCUAGAGAGACUGCCCAGGAGAACGGGGAGGAAGGUGGGGAUGACGUCAAGUCAGCAUGGCCCUUAUGCCUGGGGCUACACACGUGCUACAAUGACCGGUACAAAGGUCUGCAAACCCGCAAGGGGGAGCCAAUCCCUAUUGACCGGCUUCAGUUCAGAUUGGUGUCUGCAACUCGACCCCAUGAAGUCGGAAUCGCUAGUAAUCCCGGAUCAGCACGCCGGGGUGAAUACGUUCCCGGGCCUUGUACACACCGCCCGUCACACCACGAAAGCCCGUUGUACCAGAAGUCGCUGGAGCCAACCUGCAAGGGGGGCAGGCGCCCAAGGUAUGGCUGGUGACUGGGGUGA